rnacentral:rRNA from 1 species
AGAGUUUGAUCCUGGCUCAUAAUGAACGCUGGCGGCGUGCUUAACACAUGCAAGUCGAACGAGAAAUCCUCUGCUUGCAGAGGAGAGUAAAGUGGCGCAGGGGUGAGUAACGCGUGGGUAAUUUACCCUUGGAUUUGGGAUAACAUUUCGAAAGGGGUGCUAAUACCAGAUAAUAUCCUGAUGAUUUUGGUUAUUAGGAUCAAAGAUAGCCUCUACAUGUAAGCUAUUGUGCAAGGAUGAGCCCGCGUACCAUUAGCUAGUUGGCAGGGUAAAGGCCUACCAAGGCGAUGAUGGUUAGCUGGUCUGAGAGGAUGAUCAGCCACACUGGAACUGAAACACGGUCCAGACUCCUACGGGAGGCAGCAGUGAGGAAUUUUGCGCAAUGGGGGAAACCCUGACGCAGCAACGCCGCGUGAGUGAAGAAGGCUUUCGGGUCGUAAAGCUCUGUCAAGAGGGAAGAAGGUAGAUG